rnacentral:rRNA from 1 species
ACGUAGGGGGCAAGCGUUAUCCGGAAUUAUUGGGCGUAAAGGGCGCGUAGGCGGCUUUAUAAGUCGGUUGUGAAAGUCCUGGGCUUAACUUGGGAAUUGCGUUGGAUACUGUCAGGCUUGAGUACAGGAGAGGUAAGUGGAAUUCCCGGUGUAGCGGUGAAAUGCGUAGAGAUCGGGAGGAACACCAGUGGCGAAGGCGGCUUACUGGACUGUAACUGACGCUGAGGUGCGAAAGUGUGGGGAGCAAACAG